AUCAGUGUUUAAACUAUCGCAGCAAACGCAAUAUUAUAUGUAAACUGGAUAUUGGUUGUAAUUUCACACUCAAAUUCGUAACGUUAAUAUAACAGCAUUGUUACGUGGACCUUAUGAAAAUAAACGAGAAAUUACAACUAACAUGCACGUUACAUGUAAUUUCGUGUUAGCUGAAACGGUACAAUUUUAUUACGGCAAUGUAAAACAUGUAAUUUGUGAUAGCAUGGGUAAAUACACAACUUAGCGAUAUGUAUUUGGCAAAAUUUUGCAAUCAUAAUUUAACGAAAGUACGUCAAAUUAUAAUUUUUUGAUAAAAAGGUUUAUCUCUGAGAAAUAAAUGGCAAAUAGAAAGGUCAAGAUGAAAUUCGAUUAUUUUCGUCGAAUAAAUGUUUUUUAUUUAUGAACAAAUAUUUUACGUUCCGAAUGCAUUUAUUUUGCUAUCAUUGCGAUGCUAUUAUUGACGAAGCAUAAGAAAAGAAAACGCUAUUCAAUCGUCACAUUAUGUCUAUGAUAGGUUUUGAGAUGAUUUUGCAGUAUGAAAUAUCUCUGGAGAUGGAUGGUAGUGCACUUCUUGGAUUAUAAAAGCGACAUGACCCGUGAAAAGAAUAAUAUGACGAUGAACCAUGAAACAAGAAUAUAUGAAUAAUCCAUUACGCCAAUGACGAUGAUUAUCUUGCACAAUAUUAAUUACCAACAAAUAUAGAAAUGCAAUUGCUUGCUCAA